UACGUAGGGUGCGAGCGUUAAUCGGAAUUACUGGGCGUAAAGCGUGCGCAGGCGGUUCUGGAAGUCAGCUGUGAAAGCCCCGGGCUUAACCUGGGAACUGCGGUUGAAACUACAGGACUAGAAUCUGGCAGAGGGGGGUGGAAUUCCACGUGUAGCAGUGAAAUGCGUAGAGAUGUGGAGGAACACCGAUGGCGAAGGCAGCCCCCUGGGCUGAGAUUGACGCUCAGGCACGAAAGCGUGGGGAGCAAACAGG
rnacentral:rRNA from 1 species